AACUGGUGCGGACCAGGGGAAUCCGACUGGUUAAUUAAAGCCAAGCAUCGCCAAGGCCCACGGCGGGGGCUGACGCGCUGGGAUUUCUGCCCAGAGCUCUCAGUGUCAAAGGGAAGAAAUUCAGUGAAGUGCAGGUUAACGGUGGGAGUAACUAUCACUCUCCUAAGGUGGGAGUAGAGUUACUGACUGGGCUCAGCCGCAGUGGUCGCACCUCCUCGUGGUCCCGCUGGAU
rnacentral:ncRNA from 1 species